GUGAGAGUCGUACGGUAGCCCGGGGUUCGGCCGGGGGGCAAGGGGCAAACGGGGAAAGCGGUAAUCGAAACUUUCCCGGGAGGGGGGGAGAGCCCGGCAAAAGCCGGAUUAAUACCCCAACCCCUCGGGAAAGGAAAGGGGGGGACUUAAAAGCCUCCCCCUCAAGGGGGGGCCGAUGGAAAAUUACUUAGUUGGGGGGGUAAGGGCCUACCAAGGCAACAAUUUGUAGCUGGUCUGAGAGGACGACCAGCCCCACUGGGACUGAGACACGGCCCAAACUCCUACGGGAGGCGCGGUGGGGGAGUUUUGGACAUUGGGGGCAACCCUGAUCCACCAAUGCGCCGUGUGUGAGAAAGGCCUUCGGGUUGUAAAGCAUUUUUGUCCGGAAAGAAAAUUUUCCCCCUAAUACGGUGGGAGGAUGACGGUACCGGAAAAAUAAGCACCGGCUACUUACUUGCCGCGCAGCAGCGUGAUAAUACGUAGCGGCGACCGCUUAUUCGGAUCCUACUGGCCUAAAGGCGUGCGCAGGCGGUGCUGUAAAACCAAUGUAAAAUCCCCGGGCUUAACCUGGAAACUUGAAUUGUGUGACUGCAGCGCUGGAGUAUGGCAGAGGGGGGUGGAAUUCCACGUGUACCAGUGAAAUGCAUAGAGAUGGUGGAAGAACACCGAAUGGCGAAGGCAGCCCCCUGGGCCAAUACUGACGCUCAUGCACGAAAGCGUGGAGAGCAAACAGAGAUUAGAUACCCUGGUACUCCACGCCCCUAAACGAUGUCAACUGGGUGUCGGGCCUUCAUUGGCUUGGAAACGUAGCUAACGCGUGAAGUUGACCCCCAGGGGAGUACCGUCGCAAGAUUAAAACUCAAAGGAAUUAGACAGAGACCAGCACAAGCGGGAGGAUGGACGUGCAUUAAUAUCGAUGCAACGCGAAAAACCUUACCUACCCUUAGAACAUAUACCGAAGACUGUCCACGAGAGGAUGGUAGUGCCCGCAAAGGGAGCCAGGAACAGCACGUGCUGCGAUGGCUGUCGUCAGCGUCGCUGUCGCUGGAUGAUGUUGGGUUAAUGUCCCGCAACGAGCGUCAACCAUUAGUCCCUGGUUGUCUACCCAAGAGCACUCCAGCGAGACUUGCUUGCAAUGGUAGACAAACCGGAGGAAGGCGGGGAGGACGUCAAGUCCUCAUGGCCCUGUAUGGUGAGAGGGAGUUGCACACGUCAUAUCAAUGGUCGGAACAGAGGGUCGUGAAGCCGCGAGGUGGAGCCAAUCCCAGAAAACCGAUCGUAGUCCGGAUUGCAGUCUGCAACUCGACUGCGUGAAGCUGGAAUCGCUAGUAAUCGCGGAUCAGCAUGCCGCGGUGAAUACGUUCCCGGGUUUUGUACACACCCCCCGUCUCACCAUGGGAGUGGGUUUCCCCUUACACUAGUCUAACCGCAAAGAGGACGGUCACCACGGUAGGAUCACUACU
rnacentral:rRNA from 1 species